GGGGGUGAUGUGGUUUCGACGGAAGCCACGGGCACUUAAAACUGCACGUCCCCGUUUCGCCGUUCGGGGUAAAAAAACGGCGGAAAAAUAAGUGCCAACUACAACUAUGCUUUGGCUGCUUAAUUAAAAAAGCAGCCCAUCCUUUACGGCUCGUGCCUGUCCGGGCUGUAAAGGGUGUGGAUCAAGACAGGCUCUUACGAUGUCUGUUCUCAGGGGACAUCGUAAGGUAUAAACCUGAGAUAGCUUCGCUACAGGGCGCCUACCCCCAAGUAGCGAGGCGAAUUUAAAAAAGGUAGGCUAAGCGUGUAGAUGUUUUAAGUGUCUGGCUUCCGGACCCGGGUUCGACUCCCGGCACCUCCACUA
rnacentral:tmRNA from 1 species